GGAUGGAUCAUUCAUAUUAAAGUGAAAGGUUUAGUGUCAAAAGCUUGUUAUAUUUGAAUGAAAUAUAGGUGGUCGGUGGCACUGGAAAAAUAGGGACUUUGAGUUGAAAAAACAACUUUCAGCGAUGGAUGUCUCGGGCCUCCUUGCGAUGAAGGUCGUAGCUGUAUGCGAUAAGUAAUAUGACUUGUAGUUUUUAGGGAAUAAUUAAAUUUCUGAAUGCGAAAGGUACCCAUAAUACUUCUUAUGGGUAUGUCCAGUUCAGUGCUUUUAUUUAAUUUAACUAAUACAACUGUAUGCCAGACCAAGGCAGGUUGCUUUAUUAGUGUGGUGAUCUGCUAAGUGUUUGGUGGAUAUUGUGUAAUAAAAGAAUUAUAUAUGAUGUGGAAAAGUCAUAUUUAGAUUCAAACUGCUUAUAAUCUUAAAUAGCCUGAGGUUGGUCAAGAUAACUGACUGAAUUUAAGCAUAUUAAUAAGUCGUGGAAUAGAAAUUAACCAAGAUCUCCUUAGUAACGGCGAGUGAAAAGGGGAGUGCUCAAACUGAAAAUUGGCAACUUAUGUUGUUGAAUUGUAGCCUCAUGAAGUGUAACUGUUGAAUUGCUUGAGAUAGUUCUUUUGGAAAGGAGAGCAGUAUAGGGUGAGAGUCCCGUAUUUGCUCAAGACAAUUCUUGCUUGGCGCACUAUCAAUGAGUCGCGUUCCUUGAGAGUGGAAUGUAAAUGUGGUGGUAAACUUCAUCUAAAGCUAAAUAUUCUGAGGCCCUGAUAGUCUAUAAGUACCGUGAGGGAAAGAUGAAAAGAACUUUGAAAAGGGAGUUAAAAGUCACUAAAAUUGCUAAGAGGGAA
rnacentral:misc_RNA from 1 species